GACGAACGCUGGCGGCGUGCUUAACACAUGCAAGUCGAACGGAAAGGCCCUGCUUUUGUGGGGUGCUCGAGUGGCGAACGGGUGAGUAACACGUGAGUAACCUGCCCUUGACUUUGGGAUAACUUCAGGAAACUGGGGCUAAUACCGGAUAGGAGCUCCUGCUGCAUGGUGGGGGUUGGAAAGUUUCGGCGGUUGGGGAUGGACUCGCGGCUUAUCAGCUGGUUGGUGGGGUAGUGGCUUACCAAGGCUUUGACGGGUAGCCGGCCUGAGAGGGUGACCGGCCACAUUGGGCCUGAGAGACGGCCCAGACUCCUACGGGAGGCAGCAGUGGGGAAUAUUGCACAAUGAGCGGAAGCCUGAUGCAGCAACGCCGCGUGCGGGAUGACGGCCUUCGGGUUUUAAACCGCUUUGGCCUUUGACGAGGCGUUAGUGACGGUAAUGGAUAAAGAAGCACCGGCUAACUACGUG
rnacentral:rRNA from 1 species